GGGGCUGUAGCUCAGUAGCAGAGCGCUUGCCUUGGACGUGGGAGGCACUGGGUUCGAUCCUCAGCACCA
rnacentral:tRNA from 1 species